GACGAACGCUGGCGGCGUGCCUAAUACAUGCAAGUAGAACGCUGAAGAGAGGAGCUUGCUCUUCUUGGAUGAGUUGCGAACGGGUGAGUAACGCGUAGGUAACCUGCCUUGUAGCGGGGGAUAACUAUUGGAAACGAUAGCUAAUACCGCAUAACAAUGGAUGACACAUGUCAUUUAUUUGAAAGGGGCAAUUGCUCCACUACAAGAUGGACCUGCGUUGUAUUAGCUAGUAGGUGAGGUAACGGCUCACCUAGGCGACGAUACAUAGCCGACCUGAGAGGGUGAUCGGCCACACUGGGACUGAGACACGGCCCAGACUCCUACGGGAGGCAGCAGUAGGGAAUCUUCGGCAAUGGGGGCAACCCUGACCGAGCAACGCCGCGUGAGUGAAGAAGGUUUUCGGAUCGUAAAGCUCUGUCGUAAGAGAAGAACGAGUGUGAGAGUGGAAAGUUCACACUGUGACGGUAUCUUACCAGAAAGGGACGGCUAACUACGUGCCAGCAGCCGCGGUAAUACGUAGGUCCCGAGCGUUGUCCGGAUUUAUUGGGCGUAAAGCGAGCGCAGGCGGUUAGAUAAGUCUGAAGUUAAAGGCUGUGGCUUAACCAUAGUACGCUUUGGAAACUGUUUAACUUGAGUGCAAGAGGGGAGAGUGGAAUUCCAUGUGUAGCGGUGAAAUGCGUAGAUAUAUGGAGGAACACCGGUGGCGAAAGCGGCUCUCUGGCUUGUAACUGACGCUGAGGCUCGAAAGCGUGGGGAGCAAACAGG
rnacentral:rRNA from 1 species